rnacentral:misc_RNA from 1 species
UCCAGUGAUCCUGGCACCUUAAGGGCAGUUUACCAAAUCAACUCCCAUGCUCUAAUUCACUUCAGUUUAUGGUUAAUUCUUACUAAAUGGUCACUAAUUUGCCAUUAAAAUGAUCAUGCACCAUUACAAGAACAAAACCCAAAUUGUUCAUAAAACCCUAAGUCCCUAACUUCUCAAAUCUUGCAUUAUACAUAUAAGUAAAAUUUUUAUCUCACUUAUAUAUAUCAAGGGAUAUAUAUCCCUACAUCAUUUUAAGUCCAUCAAAAGCCAUCAAACUCAUGGAACUUCAUGGCCGCCGAAAUUUAAAGAAACCCUAACAUGUAUAGUUUGCUUCAAAUUUUUUUUAAUUCAUUGCUUAAUUUGUUGUUCUAACAAGAGAUAAAGAUAUCAGAGAGAAAAAUAAGGCACUAACCUCAUUUUAGAGCUUUUCAAGAGCUCUAAUUCUUCCCCUUUUUCCUUUUCUUUUUGCUGCCUAGGGGUUAUUCAAGGUGCAAGGAAGAGUUUUGGUGAAGGAAGUGAGUGGGUUUAUGGUGAAAUUAAGUGGGAUGUGAAGCUUGAUGAAGCUUUAAUGGAGAUUUGGGUUAAGGGGAGGAGUUCGGCUGGUUUGAGGGAGA